rnacentral:rRNA from 1 species
AUUGAACGCUGGCGGCAGGCCUAACACAUGCAAGUCGAGCGGAUGAAGGGAGCUUGCUCCUGGAUUCAGCGGCGGACGGGUGAGUAAUGCCUAGGAAUCUGCCUGGUAUUGGGGGAUAACGUCCGGAAACGGGCGCUAAUACCGCAUACGUCCUGAGGGAGAAAGUGGGGGAUCUUCGGACCUCACGCUAUCAGAUGGGCCUAGGUCGGAUUAGCUAGGUUGUGGGGUAAAGGCCUACCAAGGCGACGAUCCGUAACUGGUCUGAGAGGAUGAUUAGUCACACUGGAACUGAGACACGGUCCAGACUCCUACGGGAGGCAGCAGUGGGGAAUAUUGGACAAUGGGCGAAAGCCUGAUCCAGCCAUGCCGCGUGUGUGAAGAAGGUCUUCGGAUUGUAAAGAACUUUAAGUUGGGAGGAAGGGCAGUAAGUUAAUACCUUGCUGUUUUGACGUUACCAACAGAAUAAGCACCGGCUAACUUCGUG